rnacentral:RNase_P_RNA from 1 species
GAGAGGGAGAGAGCGGCUCACGGUGGAGAUCCACUGAGGAAAGUCCCCCCACUCCCGGACACGCAGCCGUAUGCAAAUACGGGUGGCGAGAGUCACGGCUCUGACACAGAAACGACACGGCCUGCCGUCAGCCAUGAUGCGACCGAGCCAUUGAAUCCUACCGGUUUAAUGGCGAGAAGCAGGAUUCUGCGAGAUAACUCGUUGAGCCCAGCGGCGGGAUACGAUGAAACGGUGAACCCCUGCGGGUGCAAGCCAGAACAGGGCACAUGGUGAGUCCGGAACCAAGCCCGGGUAUGGCGCUUAGCUGAAUGCCGCUACGAACAGAAGGGGGCUUACUCCUCCCACUC